UGGGGAAUAUUGGACAAUGGGCGCAAGCCUGAUCCAGCCAUGCCGCGUGUGUGAAGAAGGCCUUUUGGUUGUAAAGCACUUUAAGCGAGGAGGAGGCUACUUGGAUUAAUACUCUAAGAUAGUGGACGUUACUCGCAGAAUAAGCACCGGCUAACUCUGUGCCAGCAGCCGCGGUAAUACAGAGGGUGCGAGCGUUAAUCGGCUUUACUGGGCGUAAAGCGUGCGUAGGCGGCUUCUUAAGUCGGAUGUGAAAUCCCUGAGCUUAACUUAGGAAUUGCAUUCGAUACUGGGAAGCUAGAGUAUGGGAGAGGAUGGUAGAAUUCCAGGUGUAGCGGUGAAAUGCGUAGAGAUCUGGAGGAAUACCGAUGGCGAAGGCAGCCAUCUGGCCUAAUACUGACGCUGAGGUACGAAAGCAUGGGGAGCAAACAGG
rnacentral:rRNA from 1 species